UGGAAGAAGAGAAAGAAGAGAAAGAAGAGAAAAAGGAAAAAGAUCCAAUAAUUUCUUUUGCUGAUAUUUUCACUACUUUUACUCUCCCUCUUCCUC
rnacentral:ribozyme from 13 species